GGCCAGUGUCUCGUCCCCUCUGCAUCGCCCACCUCCGGCCGGCCAGUCCCGCUCCUCCGGCAGAGGGAAGGGGGCAGGCUCCCGCCUCACCCCACAAAAUCCACCCCACGCUGCGGGCUGGGAGGACUCGGCGGCCGGUCUGACUCCAGCCCCUCGCCUCGCUGCGGGGGACCGGUUCUGCAAGGGGAAUGCGCCCGGCCCGGGCAGCCUAGAGCGGAGAGGGACAGGAGAGCUUUGCUGCUGGGAGCCCUGCACAGCACGGGAGAGGAAGCAAGGAUGAGAAGCUCGCGGUCCCUCCUCUCACGUCGUGCCCUUUGGCAGGCUGUGCAGGUCGUGCUGCUCUUGGUGUUGACUUCACUGUUAACUGGCAGAGUAAAAGCUGGUGGAAAAUCUUACACAGGACCAUGUGGCGGAAGAGACUGUAGUAGGGGAUGUGAAUGUUUUCCUGAAAAAGGAGGCCGUG